rnacentral:rRNA from 1 species
CAAAGGGAGCGAUUCCGGCAACGGAUGGGCAUGCGUGACAUUAGCUAGUUGGCGGGGCAACGGCCCACCAAGGCGACGAUGCCUAGGGGUUCUGAGAGGAAGGUCCCCCACACUGGUACUGAGACACGGACCAGACUCCUACGGGAGGCAGCAGUGAGGAAUAUUGGUCAAUGGGCGCGAGCCUGAACCAGCCAAGUCGCGUGAGGGAUGACGGCCCUACGGGUUGUAAACCUCUUUUGUCGGGGAGCAAAUUCCGUUACGUGUAACGGAGUCGAGAGUACCCGAAGAAAAAGCAUCGGCUAACUCCGUGCCAGCAGCCGCGGUAAUACGGAGGAUGCGAGCGUUAUCCGGAUUUAUUGGGUUUAAAGGGUGCGUAGGCGGACUGUCAAGUCAGCGGUAAAAUACGGGGGCUCAACCUCCGCCCGCCGUUGAAACUGACGGUCUUGAGUGGGCGAGAAGUAUGCGGAAUGCGUGGUGUAGCGGUGAAAUGCAUAGAUAUCACGCAGAACUCCGAUUGCGAAGGCAGCAUACCGGCGCCCAACUGACGCUGAAGCACGAAAGCGUGGGUAUCGAACAGGAUUAGAUACCCUGGUAGUCCACGCAGUAAACGAUGAAUACUAGCUGUCCGGGGCGAAUGAGCCCUGG